GAUGAACGCUGGCGGUAUGCUUAACACAUGCAAGUCGAACGGACUCUUCGGAGUUAGUGGCGGACGGGGGAGUAACGCGUGAGAAACUGGCUUUGGGUUCGGGACAACCACUGGAAACGGUGGCUAAUACCGGAUGUGACAAGAGGUAAAAGAGAAAUUGCCUGAAGAUGAGCUCGCGUCUGAUUAGCUAGUUGGUGAGGUAAAGGCUCACCAAGGCAGCGAUCAGUAGCUGGUCUGAGAGGAUGACCUGCCAUAAUGGGACUGAGACACGGCACAGACUACUACGGGAGGCAGCAGUGGAGAAUGUUCCAGAAUGGGCGAGAGUCUGAAGAAGCAAUACCGCGUGAGAGAAGAAGGAUGUUGGGUGGUAAACCACUUUUCUUAGGGAAGAACAAAAUGACGUUACCUAAAGAAUCAGCACCGGCUAACUCCGUG
rnacentral:rRNA from 1 species